GUUUGAUAGGGCUCACACUCCCAGGUAAGUCAAUUAUUCCAGCCUUUAAUUUUGCAAAUGCAAAUAUUACAGUCUUCUGCUUUUUGGUACAUUAAACUAAAUCCAAUGGAAGUUAGCUGAAUAUUUCAAUUACUAUCUUUAACCACCACUACUUACUGCACCAGAUGCACAGAAGGAAGACCAGACUAAUGCUUCCAUCAUUUUGUACUUCCCAAACCUAAAUUAUUUUGUAUUGAUUAUGGCAUUGCCCAUGGUUCACCUUCUAAGCAUCGCUUCAAUAAGGAAUCUGCAGGCAUACUGUAGCAAAUCAGUAUCAAAGCUAAAUGCUGAACCAAUCACUGUACUAUUUUAAGGCUCUGCUAGUGUAAUUGGGAACACUUGGAAAUUUCACAAACUCCCCACUGUGUUUUACCAUCUUCCCAGGCUUCACUUGUUUUAAGCGGCCAUUGCAAAAUGUUACUCAUCUCUUCUUACCUUCCAUAAUCAGUAUGAUGAAGCACCUUCUCCCAGCACCAAAGAAAAGCAUCUGUGUAUUCUUGAUCCAGCCCUUUGCUUUUCUUCUCCUUGUGCAGAGUGAACAACGAAUAAUGCAAUGGGGGAAUGCAGGACCUGGUAGCACAAUAGGAACCAGAUCAGCAUACUGCUAGCACACCUGGAGGGGCAUACAAAAGGGAGGACACUGGUUUUUGCUUUAGGUUGGGAGCUGCUACUGCUUUAAGGGUAUUCAGAUUCAUGCACGCAGUGGGGGGGUUUUAAUGUCCAUGUGUUGCCUUCAUCAAAAGGCCAUUCCAUAUUUUCCCUCCACCAUUUAAUCAGUAUUUGCUGUUUUUGUUUGACUUCAGAUAUUUUGUGUCAACGGUAAAUCUCAAUUAAAUGGGAAAUAUGGGUCUGUAUUUUCAAGAGAACAGUGGGUGGAUGUUGUACAGAACCUGCAUGCAUGAACACCAGAGUCCCUUGUAAUCCAGCUUCUAUUCCUCUUCUGAAGUCUGAAACCUGAAAUUGUUACCUACAAAAUGGGACUACAGCACGCGUGUUAUGAAACUGCUUGCUAAACUGGUCACUUGUAAGGCCUUGUCAAAAGGUGAAAACUUCACUACUUCCCUUGAUUUCUGCUUUAGGAUUAGCAUUUAGCAGGAUGCUACAGACUUUCAAAGAGAUGCAUCUUGACUGUUCAUUCAAAUGUGUAGGUAGCAGGAAGGGGCAUAGAAUGCUGGGUACAAAUGAGACCUGAGGGAGGAGAGGAAGUGUCUAGACAUUAGAAAAAACAAAAGUGGGGGGGGGGGGGCUGUCAAAAGCUGCUAUUUGAAGAGCAACAGUUAACUGACACUUGCCACACAAUCAACAAUGGAUCCGUUUUAUUUACUGUCCCAUCCCAACCUAACAUUCUAAGAACAGUAAUUUUUAAGACCUGGUGCCAAAGAUUACUUUUUUCCUCCUCCCUCCUCAUCUUUCCCCCUUUUGUGUUGUGUCUGUUAAUUUAACGGUAAAGCUGAGGGCAGGGAGGGCCAAAGGCAGCUUGCUUAUUUUUUUGUAAGUCACUUGAGAUUCCUUUCUGGCUGAAGAGCAGGACAAAAAUGUAUUAAAACAAAUUAUAAGGAACUGUUCUCAUUACAAUAAGGGAUUUCUCUCCAGGUGGUAACAAAAAGCGUCAACUCUCUAUCCAAUUAGCAGGUCUGGGAUGUAAGUGUUGAUCCAAUUGCAUGUACGGUGUGCAAUUACUUAUAGGGA